rnacentral:rRNA from 1 species
AUACGUAGGGUGCAAGCGUUAAUCGGAAUUACUGGGCGUAAAGCGUGCGCAGGCGGUUUUGUAAGACAGAGGUGAAAUCCCCGGGCUCAACCUGGGAACUGCCUUUGUGACUGCAAGGCUAGAGUGCGGCAGAGGGGGAUGGAAUUCCGCGUGUAGCAGUGAAAUGCGUAGAUAUGCGGAGGAAAACCGAUGGCGAAGGCAAUCCCCUGGGCCUGUACUGACGCUCAUGCACGAAAGCGUGGGGAGCAAACAGGAUUAGAUACCCUGGUAGUCCACGCCCUAAACGAUGUCAACUGGUUGUUGGGUCUUCAUUGACUCAGUAACGAAGCUAACGCGUGAAGUUGACCGCCUGGGGAGUACGGCCGCAAGGUUGAAACUCAAAUGAAUUGGCGGGG